rnacentral:rRNA from 1 species
UACGUAGGUGGCAAGCGUUAUCCGGAAUUAUUGGGCGUAAAGAGCUCGUAGGCGGUUUCGUAAGUCGGGUGUGAAAACUCUAGGCUCAACCUAGAGACGCCACCCGAUACUGCGAUGACUAGAGUCCGGUAGGGGAGUGUGGAAUUCCUGGUGUAGCGGUGAAAUGCGCAGAUAUCAGGAGGAACACCAACGGCGAAGGCAGCACUCUGGGCCGGAACUGACGCUGAGGAGCGAAAGCGUGGGUAGCGAACAGG